UACGUAGGGUGCUAGCGUUGUCCGGAUUUAUGGGCGUAAAGGGCUCGUAGGCGGCGUGUCGCGUCGGGAGUGAAAGCCCGCCGCUUAACCCCGGUUCUGCUUCCGGUACGGGCAUGCUGGAGUGUGGCAGGGGAGACUGGAAUUCCUGGUGUAGCGGUGGAAUGCGCAGAUAUCAGGAGGAACACCGGUGGCGAAGGCGGGUCUCUGGGCCAUUACUGACGCUGAGGAGCGAAAGCGUGGGGAGCGAACAGG
rnacentral:rRNA from 1 species